AACGAACGCUGGCGGCGUGCCUAACACAUGCAAGUCGUACGAGAAACACAUCCUUCGGGGUGUGGAGUAAAGUGGCGCACGGGUGAGUAACACGUGGGUAACCUGCCUGGUGGAUCGGGAUAACUGGCCGAAAGGCCCGCUAAUACCGGAUAAGACCACAUGAGCUUCGGCUCAAGGGGUCAAAGUCGGCCUAUCGAUGAAGCUGGCACCACUGGAUGGGCCCGCGGACCAUUAGCUAGUUGGGAGGGUAAAAGCCUACCAAGGCCGAGAUGGUUAGCUGGUCUGGGAGGAUGGCCAGCCACACUGGAACUGAGACACGGUCCAGACUCCUACGGGAGGCAGCAGUGAGGAAUAUUGCGCAAUGGGGGAAACCCUGACGCAGCAACGCCGCGUGAGUGAAGAAGGCUUUCGGGUUGUAAAGCUCUGUCGGGUGGGAAGAGACUUCCCCAGGUAAAUAGCCUGGAGAACUGACGGUACCACCGAAGGAAGCACCGGCUAACUCCGUGCCAGCCGCCGCCGUAAUAC
rnacentral:rRNA from 1 species